rnacentral:rRNA from 1 species
UACGUAGGGCGCAAGCGUUGUCCGGAAUCAUUGGGCGUAAAGAGCGUGUAGGCGGCCAGAUAAGUCCGCUGUGAAAUCUCGAGGCUCAACUUCGAGCUGUCGGUGGAAACUGUCUGGCUAGAGUCCGGAAGAGGAGAAUGGAAUUCCUGGUGUAGCGGUGAAAUGCGCAGAUAUCAGGAAGAACACCCGUGGCGAAGGCGGUUCUCUGGGACGGUACUGACGCUGAGACGCGAAAGCGUGGGGAGCGAACAGG